GAUGAAGAACGCAGCGAAAUGCGAUAAGUAAUGUGAAUUGCAGAAUUCAGUGAAUCAUCGAAUCUUUGAACGCACAUUGCGCCCGCCAGUAUUCUGGCGGGCAUGCCUGUUCGAGCGUCAUUUCAACCAUCAAGCCCCCGGCUUGUGUUGGGGACCUGCGGCUGCCGCAGGCCCUGAAAAGCAGUGGCGGGCUCGCUGUCACACCGAGCGUAGUAGCAUACAUCUCGCUCUGGGCGUGCUGCGGGUUCCGGCCGUUAAACCACCUUCAUAACCCAAGGUUGACCUCGGAUCAGGUAGGAAGACCCGCUGAACUUAAGCAUAUCAACAAGCGGAGGA
rnacentral:misc_RNA from 1 species